GCUUACGGCCACACCGCCCUGAGCGCGCCUGAUCUCAGAAGCUAAGCAGGGUUGGGUCUAAUUAGUACUUGGAUGGGAGACAGCCUGGGAAUACCAGAUGCUGUAAGUU
rnacentral:rRNA from 1 species